CCCGCCGCCGCACGUGUCUUCCUCCUUCCUCCCUGCAUCCCGCACACCCCGCGCCGCGAACUGCUCCUCCCCUGCCCCGCGAACUGCUCCCUCCCACGCGCCCCUCACCCUCACCCUCGCCCUCGACGGCGCUGCCCUCUGUGAUGGCGGACGCGCCCCCACCAACCCCGACCCUGAGAUCCAUUGCCGAAGAAACAUCCGUCGUCUUCCCCGCCCCGCUCACGUGAAACUGCCACUGAUUUGGCCUCCCCCAACGCCGUCGAGACAACCACCGCCUUCCCCAUCGUUGCCCCACACGAUUUGAACUGCCACACAACUGCUUCCUCCCUCCUCGCUCCUCCUCAUGCAAACCCUACUCUCCUCUCCCUCGCACCUACGUCCGACGCGACGGUGGAGCCCGACGACCUUGUGCGGCCUUCUCUGCUCCAUGUAAGGCCACCUCUCGCCUCUCACCUAUUGUCGACGCGUUGGGUGUUUGGCCCUGGCCAAAAGCAUGCUGGUGGCCACCGGCGCAGGCGUCCCCGAUGUGGCCUGGUCCUGCCAUCAGCCAGCGCGCUCGACCUCGCCGUCGUCGUCGAUGCAGAGUUCUUCGAUGGGCCCACGCUCUCUAUCUCCUCGUGCUUCCACCAGUUGCCUGCUCUGCUCCACCGCCCUUUGAUUUGAUUUGAUUUGAUUGCGAUGCAGGUCAUUUCAGCUAAGAGUGAUAAAGAGAUGGUUCUGCCGAUCAUGGUUGGAGGUUACACAAACUUGUUUUGUUCUAUGCACCAUACAAGUAAUUGUGGAUUCAUCUUCCGAGGGCCAUAGACUCCAGUCAAUCCAAAUUGAAACACAUAACUGAAGUUUCAGAUGAUCACUGGGCGCAGGGUGCUGUCUGUUUCUCUAAUGUUAGUUCACUUAGCACACUUAAUGGCUGAGGCGUUUGCAUGACAUUGAGUCACCAGUCGCAUAUCUAAAUGUGUUGCAAGCAUGAAAACAGAGAGGCCAUGAGUGUCCAAUCAAUGGUACAUGCAAGUUUCUGCGAUCUGUUCCAAAUUAUCUUCAACUACAUAAUAAGAAAGGUAAGUUUUGGGUGUC